AGUAAAUAGCAAACUUGUUGAAAGACAAGGACGCAAAGCUGAGGGCCUAAUGUGAAAGCUAUGGUAGCCUGGUUGCCGA
rnacentral:ncRNA from 1 species